rnacentral:ncRNA from 1 species
CGCGGUCACUCCACAACCAUGGCCGCAAACCGCCGGAUAAGGAGGAAAUGACCCAUCCGCUCGACUUGCGGUGCGGCAGUGUGGAGACCUGCCGUAAUGCGCGGCGCCCCAACGCGGACGCGUGCGAGGUUCGGGAUGCGGAGGCAGCCGGAUCAAAGUCUGUUUCAUGGCA